rnacentral:misc_RNA from 1 species
GAAAUGCGAUAAGUAAUGUGAAUUGCAGAAUUCAGUGAAUCAUCGAAUCUUUGAACGCACAUUGCGCCCGCCAGUAUUCUGGCGGGCAUGCCUGUUCGUGCGUCAUUACAACCCUCAGGCCCCCGGGCCUGGCGUUGGGGAUCGGCGGAAGCCCCCUGCGGGCACAACGCCGUCCCCCAAAUACAGUGGCGGUCCCGCCGCAGCUUCCAUUGCGUAGUAGCUAACACCUCGCAACUGGAGAGCGGCGCGGCCACGCCGUAAAACACCCAACUUCUGAAUGUUGACCUCGAAUCAGGUAGGAAUACCCGCUGAACUUAAGC